rnacentral:rRNA from 1 species
GACGAACGCUGGCGGCGUGCUUAACACAUGCAAGUCGAACGGAAAGGCCCUGCUUUUGUGGGGUGCUCGAGUGGCGAACGGGUGAGUAACACGUGAGUAACCUGCCCUUGACUUUGGGAUAACUUCAGGAAACUGGGGCUAAUACCGGAUAGGAGCUCCUGCUGCAUGGUGGGGGUUGGAAAGUUUCGGCGGUUGGGGAUGGACUCGCGGCUUAUCAGCUUGUUGGUGGGGUAGUGGCUUACCAAGGCUUUGACGGGUAGCCGGCCUGAGAGGGUGGCCGGCCACAUUGGGACUGAGAUACGGCCCAGACUCCUACGGGGGGCAGCGGUGGGGAAUAUUGCACAAUGGGCGGAAGCCUGAUGCAGCAACGCCGCGUGCGGGAUGACGGCCUUCGGGUUGUAAACCGCUUUCGCCUGUGACGAAGCGUGAGUGACGGUAAUGGGUAAAGAAGCACCGGCUAACUACGUG